AUUCUGUUAUUUAUGCUGAAUUUUAAGAGGAUUCUUCUUAAAAAGUUUUUUCUUAAGAAAAGAACAUUCAGUACUUUUGGUCAAUUCAAAAUAUUCUUAACGUUUUUAGAAUAAUAAAAAAAUAAAAUAAAAUGUUAAUUCCAAUAUACAACAUGCACUAUUAUGCCAUGGUCUGUCUGAAUACUCUAUUCUGAUUGGCUGGCCAGUGUUGAUUAAACUCGUUUAACUGCACAGGUAGUUCCAGGUCAGUUUAAUCACGUUUUAUAUUAAUGUGCUUCCUAUAAACAUUGGUAACCAUAGUAGCAUACAGUUACAGUUGAAUAAGCUGUUGUCAACACUGCCCUGCACCUGUAUAAAAUACCUAAGCUUAAAUUGCUACAUCAUAUUUCUCAUCAGCAAAAGUAUCACCAUGGUGCAGCAGGAAGAAGGAAAUGUGACAGCUUGCCUUCAGGAUCUGUUCUCAGGGAUGCAGAGGCAUCUUGUAGACACUCAUCACAAGCUAAUGACAGCAAUGGAUUUAGUUGUUCUCUUGUUUAAAUGAGGAUCCAACUCAAGAUGGGCAUGAAAAACCACUGAAACUCUUCUGCAAUGGCACAAAACACAAAAUCCCCAAAUGAAGAGAAGUUAGCUAAAGCGAUUAUGAUGGCCUCAAGGGUUUGUCUUGAAGGGUCAAAUCUGGGAAGACGUUGAUUUUCAUAACUUUUUCAGUGCUUCAAUAGAGUGAAGUGAAAGAUUAGGAAUGGGUCUAUUAGUCCUCUAACAAACAACCAGUCAACGACUAGUUCAUCUAGAUAUUUUAGCUUUAAUUAGCAUAUCAACAGUUUGCUGGGCUUUAAUUCAUCCCCUCUACACCACUGCCACUACAGCCAAUUACAUCUAGACAGAUGUCUCUGCCCAUUACAUUGCAUCUUGUGCAUUCAGUGUUGUGUUGAUUUAAAAAUAUUCUCAUUUUCAAAAACACAUGCACUCUUUUCCCCACUGAUCUAUCUGUAGAUGUUUAAGGCUAGACCUUGACUUACGUAAAUGCAAGGAAACCCAUGUGAACAGGUCUGUUAAAUGUAUACAGGCCUUCCUAAAGAUUGAUACAUCUAGAGUUUUAAUCAAUCAGCAAGUAACUAUUCAUAAUAAACUGAGUUAACAUAAAGGCUUAGUUCA
ensembl:lncRNA